rnacentral:rRNA from 1 species
GAGUUUGAUCCUGGCUCAGAUUGAACGCUGGCGGCAUGCCUUACACAUGCAAGUCGAACGCGAAAGUAGGGGCAACCCUGCGAGUAGAGUGGCGAACGGGUGAGUAAUACAUCGGAACGUACCUAGGAGUGGGGGACAACCUCGAGAAAUCGAGGCUAAUACCGCAUACGUCCUGAGGGAGAAAGCGGGGGAUUCGUAAGGACCUCGCGCUCAUGGAGCGGCCGAUGUCGGAUUAGCUAGUUGGCGGGGUAAAGGCCCACCAAGGCGACGAUCCGUAGCUGGUCUGAGAGGACGACCAGCCACACUGGAACUGAGACACGGUCCAGACUCCUACGGGAGGCAGCAGUGGGGAAUUUUGCGCAAUGGGGGAAACCCUGACGCAGCAACGCCGCGUGAGUGAUGAAGGCCUUUGGGUCGUAAAGCUCUGUCAGAGGGGAAGAAAUGAUAUAGUGCUAAUACCACUUUAUCUUGACGGUACCCUCAAAGGAAGCACCGGCUAACUCCGUGCCAGCAGCCGCGGUAAUAC